CUUUCUCGUUGUUUUUGGUGCAGAUCAGGCCAGACCAGACCAGACCUGAAAAGGAUGAAGUUAACGAAGGGGGGGAAAUUUAGGCGUUUACCAA